AUUAAGCUUCAUUUUUUGUAUAAAAAAGGGAAGAAUGCCACCAAUGAAAUUUGUGAAGCUUGCGGAGACGAUGCUAAUCAGUUCGUCUAGCACAACAAUGGUUCCCUCGCUUCCGUUCUGGAAAUUUCGAUAUGAAAGAUGCACCUCGCUCUGGUCUAUCUAUACAAAACGUAGAUGAAAUUAUGGAAAAGAUUGAUCCGGACCGUCUCAUAAUCAGCCAUGGCAUCGCUAAGGAACUUAACACUCAUCAUCAAACGGUUUUGAACCAUUUAAAAAAAGGCUGUCUACAAAAAGAAGCUCGAUUUUUGGGCACCUGUUGGCGUUGAUCCUGGUUCCAAGAUAGACGCAAUUACAGAUCUCGACUUCAAUGUUACGACUUUCAACAGUGACGUGCAGGCCAAACUGCGAAUGCGAUGACUAUUUGUUUGAUGACAGGAUAUAUUUCGUCUUGAUCUCGUUCACAACAAGGCCCACACGUUUCGCUUCUAUAUUCAGUAUGAAGAAAGCAAGACUACCGGCGCGGUUGUUAAGGCCAAUGAUAUCGAUAUCAUCAAGCAAUAGAUUGAAGACAUCACACGAUAAAAAGUAUCCUUGUCUGAAGCUUCGCUGGUUUCGAAUAGCUCGGAGAAAUCCUUCCCGAUCCUGACGGAUGGUAGCUUACACAGCCGUAUCAGCUCAGGGUGGAUACCAAGCGGCAUUGAGGCAUUUUCGUGCUGUCGAAGGCGGCUUUAAAAUCGACGAAGAGGUGAUGUGUGUCGAUGUGUUUCCAGAUUUAAAACCACACUUAACAGGUUCACAGAACCUACAAGAGUAUUCUCCGAUCAUGAAAUCUUCUGAUAGCCGCCGCAUCUUUUCGUAGAAUAUUCGAUCAUUACCCCUGGCGGUCAGCUUGUCAAGCACUUUGUGCUCACAUAUUUCGGACUCUCUCUUGUUUUGUCUGCAGAUGUUGUGCUCGAUUGUUAUGUAGCGAGGUUGGUAGUCUGUUUUAUCUCCACUGCGACACGGCACUCCUCAUCGUAGCACCUGUUAUUUGGCCUUGUUCGAAAAGCAAUGGCUUCUUUUGCAGCUGUAUGUAAGUAGUUUCUAAGUUAGUUUGCAAGUUUGAAAUACCGACCCACAGUUCCUUUAUGCCGAGUUGCUAAUUAGUGCAAGUCGAGUGGAUACCCGUUUCGCUGUCGGUUGUGAUAGCAGCUUAUCGACAUCGUACCUUCCCUGUGUUUGUUGACGGAGCGUUCGCACGUCAAGGGCACUGAAUAAAUGUCGUCCAUCUAUCACAACAUCAUCGAUCAGCUUUUCGAUCCGGACACAGCCAAGCUUUGAUUUUUUAAGAGGGCCAUCCGGUGUGAAGGCCUUUUUUAAGUUUUUUCGUAAUUUUCUAUAAAGAAAUGAAAAUAUAUAGAGCUUCCAAAUUUCUACUAUAUAUUAAUUAAGGAGGUAUUCUACUCUAGAAUUUUGAAAAAAUUCGAUUUUUUACAUAUAUUUAGAGUUUAGACCCUUAAGAACAUAUCCUUCAAAGGAUUUUUAAAAAUUAAAAUUAUUUUAAGAGCUACAGUUACUUUGUGACGCAGUGCCUAGCCCGGUUCGGUUUGACUCACUUUUUUAAACGAGUUUUUUCGAAACUACUUUUUUCCACACGGUACCGGCAUUAUCUCAAGUUCUAUACAACCGAUUUACUUUUGUGUGAACCUACUUUAUAUAAUCCUUUAUCGUUCCUACCAGCAUCGUGUCAAAAUUUUUGUUUUUAAUAUUUUAAAAAAAUUCAGGAAUUUAAAAAAAAACGUAAAAAAUGAUUUUUAUUUUCAGGCAGUCGCCAUUUUUCAAAAUUUUUUUUUCGGGUUCCCUGAGGUAGGUACUAUAACAGAAUUUCUUUUGAUUUUUUCUUUUCAGACCACCAGGAGAGUCAGGAUCAAUGUCACCAGAAUGCGCCAUUUUUUUUUACACCUGUCUCUGUAUAUAAUGUAAACGACAAUUUUGAGAAAAUUAUAUAAAAGGAAAGGUGUUGAGGAAUUUUCCUUUUAACAAAAGAGUUAUAUCGUCUGCGUAGGCAUCCACUUGGCAGCCCCGUUCCUCAAGUUCUUUCAAAAAGUUCCGUGUACUUCGCCACUCUUCCACAGUCGUUCUGUCGCAAAGAAGGCAGUUGAUGAUAUCUUAAGAUUAGCUUCGACCUCAAACUUAUUAAGAGCUGCUAUAAUCGCCUAUGGCCGUACGUUGUUAAAGGCCUACACGAUAUCAAGAAAGGUAACGUUGCUGUCCGAACCAAUAUGACGCUGGCUUUCUUUUGUCGUGCCUUCGCAAGAAUCUUCGUCGCCGAGACUAGCAGUCACAACGUCUUCGUUGCUGAAAUUAUAUAAGAAGAAGCAUUAAGUUCGUUACGGACAAGUAGACCAAAGGGGAUACUUUGUAAGCCGUUGAACAAAAAUACAACUCUGUAUGGCGAUAAAAGUUUUGGAAUUUUCGUAAACGACGGUCAAACUUGUGCGUUUAAACGGGUUUUGAUUCGUUAUCACACUGACAAACACAACGGGCUUAAAAUUUCUAAAUUUUAAUUAGUUACUGUUCCACCCGAAACUUUCCGAAGGAAGUUUAAAGACUGUUGAACCACCUUCUCGCGAUUUUAAUGGAGCGAACAAGGUUUGGGCUGUCAUUUGUUUUAGUCAUUGCACUUUAUCACCGUUAGAGGAGCAGAUUAGCGAGCUUCUGGCAAUGGAGGCAGGUGGCUAAUUUGAACGAAAAAAACAAGAAAAAAAAACAAAUUGAAAAUAACAAAAUUAGAGAUUAAAAAGUAAAUGCUAGGAAUUGAACCAUACUACCAAUAA